UACGUAGGGGGCAAGCGUUGUCCGGAAUUAUUGGGCGUAAAGAGCGCGUAGGCGGUCCGAUAAGUCGGCUGUGAAAGUCAGGGGCUCAACCCUUGAAAGCCGGCCGAUACUGUCGGACUAGAGUCCGGAAGAGGCAAGUGGAAUUCCUGGUGUAGCGGUGAAAUGCGCAGAUAUCAGGAGGAACACCGGUGGCGAAGGCGGGACUCUGGGCCGAUACUGACGCUGAGGAGCGAAAGCGUGGGGAGCGAACAGG
rnacentral:rRNA from 1 species